rnacentral:rRNA from 1 species
GACGAACGCUGGCGGCGUGCUUCAUACAUGCAAGUCGAACGAGAAGCUGACUUUGGGCGGUUGAAAGUGUCGGACGCGGGAGUAUUAUGUGUGAAAUCUGCCUUUAUGAGUUGGACAACAGAGGGAAACUUCUGCUAAUACCCCAGAUGAGCGUAGCUGAAAUGCUAUUCUUGAAAACUCCGGUGGGUGGAGAUGAGCCCGCAGGUGAUUAGCUAGUUGGUAGGGUAGUGGAUUACCAAGGCGGUGAUCGGUAGCUGGCCUGAGAGGGUGACCGGCCACAAUGGGACGGAGAUACGGCCCAGACUCCUACGGGAGGCAGCAGGGGGGAAGAUUGCACAAUGGGUGGAGGCCUGAUGCAGCAACGCCGCGUGCGGGAUGACUGCCUUCGGGUUGUAAACCACUUUCGCUCAUGACGAAGCUUUGCGUGACGGUAGUGAGUAAAGAAGCACCGGCUAACUACGUG